rnacentral:rRNA from 1 species
CCUACGGGGGGCUGCAGUGGGGAAUAUUGGACAAUGGGGGCAACCCUGAUCCAGCCAUGCCGCGUGUGUGAAGAAGGCCCUCGGGUUGUAAAGCACUUUCAGUGAGGAAGAACGCCUGGUGGUUAAUACCCAUCAGGAAAGACAUCACUCACAGAAGAAGCACCGGCUAACUCCGUGCCAGCAGCCGCGGUAAUACGGAGGGUGCGAGCGUUAAUCGGAAUUACUGGGCGUAAAGCGCGCGUAGGUGGCUUGAUAAGCCGGUUGUGAAAGCCCCGGGCUCAACCUGGGAACGGCAUCCGGAACUGUCAAGCUAGAGUGCAGGAGAGGAAGGUAGAAUUCCCGGUGUAGCGGUGAAAUGCGUAGAGAUCGGGAGGAAUACCAGUGGCGAAGGCGGCCUUCUGGACUGACACUGAUACUGAGGUGCGAAAGCGUGGGUAGCAAACAGGAUUAGAUACCCUUGUAGUC